UAGUUUUCAGUGAUCAGAUCAUUACUAUAGUUUCUGACUGUAGAAAUAUGUUUGAAAGUUUCUGAUUUUGAUGAACACCAGAAGAACUUACGGUGUCUUUUUUAAGUGUGAAGUUCGUGGGCCAUGUUGUUUUUAUGCACUUGCUGUCUUUUGUUGAUGACCGUUCUUGUUUCCAUUUUUGGGAAGUUAAAAAGAAGAAAACAUUGAGCGAGUGGU